AUUCAAAGAGAUAAAAGAGACUUGAAAGAAACUACGGGAGUUGAAUUUACAAAAUAUUUUAUUCACUUGAACAACUCUAUAGCAAUUGUUUUCUCUUCUCUUUCCUCUGUUUUUUUGUUUUUUUUAAGGAGUAUGUAUUGACAUGUAUUGAAAUAUUAAAAACAUAUUACUUUUUUUCCUUCCUCUUAUCCUUCUAUUUUUUCUUCCUCUUAUCCUUUUAUUUCUUCAUUCCUUAUUUUUAUUUUCUAUUUUU
rnacentral:lncRNA from 1 species